rnacentral:lncRNA from 1 species
UCCACGCUGAUCGGAAGCUCCGACGACAAAAAUUUCUCGCCGUACAGCAACUCAGAUGUGCCCGUCAAACAGAACAGGGAGGUUAUAACGCUGCCCUCAGAGACGCCUCGCUGAGAAAGAAGCGCCGCUGGUCGGUCAAAUGUUCCCGCAAGUCAGUGGCCAGUGGCCUGCCACGAGUGAACAGCCAGUACCUUUAUCGUAUGUUUGCUCCGGUGUUUGGAUUUCUGGGUUCAGGAGUGUUAAAUGACAUCGUCACAGAGCAUCGAAGCACUCUCACACAAUCCAAGCGCCAUGCGGCUUCACUGAAUGACCACCCUGGUUGUGGAAAUGGCAUCCAUCCCCCAAAAGCCAGAUGAAAAGAUUCUGCUCUGAUCUAACAAAAAACAGAUAAUUCUCAUAUCACAACGCAAGUAAGGAACACUAGCUUCUCCCGUAUCCGCCAACUUAAGGCACGACCCGAAUAGUCUUCCUUUAUUACCCUUCUACCUGCCACUCCAAAUAAAAAAGCGAAGACGCUCGUUGACAGAGUCAGGCUUCCUCGCCUGCUACAGGAACGGAGCCGGUCGGCUUUUCCAACGAAGGGUCGCCUGUCAUCCUGAAAGAAGCGUGACAGCGAAAAAAUAGCGACGAAAUGUCAUAAAACAUGCAAGUGCUCACCGUCCUCGGAUCACCCGUUUGUCCCAUUGUAUGUGUCUACCAUACGUGAGAGACACAUCGUUGGUCGUUGAUGGUCCGAUGGUCCAGCGCUCGCCGAACUACAGCAAUUGAGUACAGCUCAAGCCGUGUUUGCUCCUUCAGGCGCUCGGUUCGAUAACAGCUACGUCCCGUAUGCCAGUGAGAAGAAGAGACGGCGCAAGAACGCGAAACUUGCCGACCAUACACUACGCGUACUUGCAGGCGAGGUUGCUCCAACUUACAGCCGAACCGGCCUCUUGCACCUCGACCUCCUCGUCGCUAGCUCUUCCAUCUUUCUUGUUCUCAUUAGUCUGCUCCUUCUCACCCUGAAAUUUUCUGUGCGGAUCCAGCAUGAUGUCUUCUGGGAUGGUGGCAUCCAAAGGCAAACGCUUCAUGUGGUCGUCCCAUUCAUUGUCUUUUUAUCUGUCUUCUUGUCCCCUUGUUGCUCUCUCUGACAUGGAGAUGAAGAUGCCAUGGCAUUUUCAUAUCCCUGUGUAAGCUGCUCGUGGAUGGACCGUCUUUCCCAGCAAUAUGCACCGUUCCCACCGCAGCCACUGCCGCUCUGGUGGCGUUUGAACCCCUCAGUAACUCCGAGGAACGAUGGCAUGCUGCGUAGCGAUGUUGCUUUGCCACCGCUGCGUACCCCGUCUCGACGGAGGAAUGCAACCAGCUUUGUGAGCGAGCUGAAUCCAUGAACUCUCUCUAGUUGCCUGCCUAACCAUGUAAAACCAGUGUGUAAUUCACCACACCCUGAUUCGUGGGGCUCCACUAGAGAUCGCCACCUGCUCAAUUCUGUGCCAUUGGCCACAUCCACCUUGAAGAUGCGCUGGUAUGAAUCGUUGGAUGCAAUGCGUCCUUCAUAGACUUUUCCUGCAGUUGAAUAGCCCCAUAUGUUUUCUGUCCCCCAAAAAACAAUUUUCCCAGAUCGAUUGUUUAGCUGCUGCAGCCGGCGGACGCGCUCAACAUGUUUCCGCAGUUUGGCCUGUUGAUGAUCGUCCAAAAGUCCAGUGGAGGUGGCAUUUGCCGAAGCAUUCCCAGAGUCGUCCACUUUUGUCGAAACCGACACGCAAAACCGCUCACUCCUGCCGACAGUUCGGGAGGUACCAGGGAGCUCCUCUCCGCGAAGCCUGGGGUUGCGCUUCCAAACAGAUGCACCGAAGGUAUGACAGAAGCUAUGAUUUUUGCACCGGUUACUGGGGUGCUGAUCAGAGAGAGACAAGUUUGGCGGUGUGUCUCGACUGCGCAGGCCACGAACCCGAGGUAGAGUCGUUGAAUUCCAACUGUGUGCACAACUAUCCUUUUCUGGUCUCUCUAUCAAAAACCCACGGGGCGUGCGCCAGCCGUGACUCCGCACGACGAUGGUUUCCCCAUGAGAGAACUUCGUUUUGAUCGCAGGAUCCGCAUUUUGGAUCAAGGUUUGUUUCCACGGCGAACAUGUUGUUUCCGAGGACUCAAAUUGUUGAGGACAUGCCAGUGCAGAGGCAGGUGCUAUGGUCAGAGUUGAGGGACUUCCGAAAGACCGAGAGCCGACACUUCCCCGGGCCGUCGACGAUUCUGCUGGCCCAGACGGAGAGGCCGGCGACAGCGGCGAGGACCCAAGCAGCACAGCAACACUCGAGAGAAAGAAUUCAUUGUGACAUGCUUGUGUUGCGACGGUGCCGCGACCUUGUCGAUGCGGCACAGCGGCAACCCGCUCUUUCACCUGAUGCUGAGAGGGAAGGAUACCGCUCACUCUCUGCGCCUCAAGCCGUCCCUCCCCGCUAUCAAACAUCAAGCCGUGCAGGCGUGGUAUAUUCCGCCCUGAGUCCUGAAACUUAGUACCCAGCUUUCUUUGAUGAUCAAGUUGUUCCGCUGAGUCUCCCACUUCGAAGGCAUCGAUGAGUCCACGGUGUUCCUGGUGCUGUGCGCAGCCGUCUCGCUUCCCUUCAAACGGCCAAUUUUCCAGGAGACGUCGGUCAAUGAUGGUCUCAUCCGUGUGCUUUGCGAUCAUGUCCGUGGCCUCCUGGCGGAGCCAUGCGUGAGGCGGCCAUGAAGACUGUGCCUCCUUUUGUCCCUGCGUGCACGUGUGCGGGUUGAUGACUUUCGCCUGCAUUCGCGCGUUCACACUGCCGCCGCGUCCGCGUAGAGCGGCAAGACAACCUCGUGUCGAUCCUGUUACAUUAGCUUCCGUGUUGUGAAUGUAGUCCAAAGAAGAAGUAAUCCAAUCCGAAGCAGACGCCUCGUUCGACUUCAACUGCCUCUGCAGCCCGUUGUGUUCACUUGUGCCUGAAUAGAAUCGCGAGUCAGGCGUGUCGGGAAACGACAGGCUGCUGUGGUGACCAGGUAACGGUUUUGUAUCUGUACUGCAGUCAAAUGCUCGUUCCCCCUGGAGGGAAGUCCUAGCCUCAAAGGUUGUAUCAGUUCCGGCAGAAGCGACCCUACCGCAAGGUGUGAAGCCAAAUGGAUCAAAACGCAUGUAAUGCUGCUCUUUGGUGAAGUUCCGGCAGCCCCUGGUUGCAGCGAGACGGCGAUAGAAAGAAAGCUCCUCUUCACCAUGUGCGUGGUUACACGUAUUUGGCUUGGAGCAACGGCCCAAUUGCCAGUUUCGGCACAUGUUAGUCUUGUAAUGGUUGAUCGUCUGUCGCAGCUCUCCCCGCCAAUGAGCAAAGGUACACGCAGCUCCUGCAAAAAGUAAGCACAAGGCAUCUGGGGGCCGCUGUUGCCCUGUGAAGUUACACCACUCCUCGAAUAUCGAAAUACGGGGACAACCCUUGAGCAAGGACGCAGCCAUCGAUAUAUACAAUACGGUUUAGAGUGCCGAAGAAGGGUCAGUGUAAAAUAGCAUAGGAUGCAUCCAGUUUGAAAAUGCAAGCAUUUACGCUGCCAGCUGAUUCGUGAACUGUUUGGCCUGAUGCCCGCCCCAAGUCCCCAACAUUCCUCGAGCUGCUCGCCAUGCAACUUGUUGCCACAUGUUGGCAUGCGGAAAACACAAUGCCCUGGAUCUUCUGUGAGCAGCAUCCUGCUGCUGUUCCAAGCCUGCAACUACGUUGGAG